GAGUCUGUAAGAUUAAAUGAAGAACUGCUAAUUCCUCAUAUUGUGGUUUAACUCCAUAACAUUCUCA
rnacentral:tRNA from 1 species